rnacentral:rRNA from 1 species
AAUGCCUAGGAAUCUGCCUGGUAGUGGGGGAUAACGUUCGGAAACGGACGCUAAUACCGCAUACGUCCUACGGGAGAAAGCAGGGGACCUUCGGGCCUUGCGCUAUCAGAUGAGCCUAGGUCGGAUUAGCUAGCUGGUGAGGUAAUGGCUCACCAAGGCGACGAUCCGUAACUGGUCUGAGAGGAUGAUCAGUCACACUGGAACUGAGACACGGUCCAGACUCCUACGGGAGGCAGCAGUGGGGAAUAUUGGACAAUGGGCGAAAGCCUGAUCCAGCCAUGCCGCGUGUGUGAAGAAGGUCUUCGGAUUGUAAAGCACUUUAAGUUGGGAGGAAGGGUUGUAGAUUAAUACUCUGCAAUUUUGACGUUACCGACAGAAUAAGCACCGGCUAACUCUGUGCCAGCAGCCGCGGUAAUACAGAGGGUGCAAGCGUUAAUCGGAAUUACUGGGCGUAAAGCGCGCGUAGGUGGUUUGUUAAGUUGGAUGUGAAAUCCCCGGGCUCAACCUGGGAACUGCAUUCAAAACUGACUGACUAGAGUAUGGUAGAGGGUGGUGGAAUUUCCUGUGUAGCGGUGAAAUGCGUAGAUAUAGGAAGG